ACCGAUUACCCCUCAACCACGCACUGAAAACCCAAAAUUCAGUCAUUUCGACACAUUUUUGUAUGCGUGUGAAUGUACAUUGCAAGUCACUUCCUGUUCCUUAAUAUUUUUUUGGAAAGGAUGAUUCCUUCAUCCUCCUCGGGUUCUUCACCAUCAGCUGCCUUUCCAUGCUUCCUCCUCCUCCUCCUCUUCCUUGCUCGGGCAGGCCAGGUUGAACCCGGACACGCGCCGCAGAAAUUGGGCGGACAGCAGGUUGUAAAGGACCUCUUUAGCACGCACAUCGCCUCUCUCCUCCUGACACUGCCGGAGGGCAGCGAGGGGUCAGCCGAGAUCCAUGCUCCUAUGGCCCGGGAUGGGCGUGGUCUGUUGAGAGAGGUGGGGUCCGAGCACCUGAUGGAGCACAAUCUGGAGCCCAACCCCAUUCUUCCCCGCCUCCUCAUGGACUUCAUGGGCCAUCAACGGAAGUUCAAAGGUCGCACCAGAAAGAGGACAGAGAGAGGCUGUUCUGGGCUGGACCGGCAGGGCACCAGAACCGUGAACAGACUGGGCUGCUGACUGGGCAGGACACAGGCAGAGGUGAAAAAGUUCUGUGUGCUUUUCCUUUGGACCAAGGAGAUGUGAAAGAAGACAGAAGGACAUUUUUGUGUAAAGCACACAGCAGGAAGCAGUUUUUUCAAACACAAACAACCAGCUGGAGCGAGCGAGACUCCACCGCCUGCUCUUCUGGAGAAUGAAGGAUAACCCUUCAGUGCCCUCUGUCUCCCCUUACUUGUGAUGCAGAAAUGCUCAAAAUGAUGUCCCUCGUCACAUUAACAGACAGCAAAAGGCCUCUGUCUAUUACCAGCACUCCGACAGCACGUCGAUGUUUGUACUGUGAGCGUUCGACCAGAGUAACAUGCCAUAGUGUACACAAGUGUGUAAAAGCUAAAACGAUGCCUCACUGCUCCACAAGCGACAGAGCAGUGUU